ACUCAAAUGAAUUGACGGGGGCCCGCACAAGCGGUGGAUCAUGUGGUUUAAUUCGAAGCAACGCGCAGAACCUUACCUGGGUUUGACAUCUCUGGACCGUCGGUGAAAGCCGAUCUCAGUAGCAAUACUGCCAGAUGACAGGUGCUGCAUGGCUGUCGUCAGCUCGUGUGGUGACAUGUUGGGUUAAGUCCCGCAACGAGCGCAACCCCUGUCCUUAGUUGCCAGCAUUCAGUUGGGCUCUCUAAGGAGACUGCCGUGGUUAACACGGAGGAAGGUGGGGAUGACGUCAAGUCCUCAUGGCCUUUAUAUCCAGGGCGACACACGUGAUACAAUGGUCGGUACAAAGGGAAGCGAACCCGCGAGGGGGAGCCAAUCUCAAAAAGCCGAUCUCAGUUCGGAUUGGAGUCUGCAACUCGACUCCAUGAAGUUGGAAUCGCUAGUAAUCGCGGAUCAGAACGCCGCGGUGAAUACGUUCCCGGGCCUUGUACACACCGCCCGU
rnacentral:rRNA from 1 species